GCAGCCGUCUAGAGAACAUGGACAGUAUUUCUAAGAUGUGCAGUUGAAACAUUUGUAUACGCAAAAUUCUAAACUGGUGAUGCGACUUGCUUCUGAAGAAGUACCGUGAAAGCUGCUGCUGAACUCUAUCCUCCACUGUAAGAUUUCCUGACUGAACAAAGAACAAGACCGCUGCCUUACUUGGCUCAGAAAUUGAAGACGGGAUAAAGAGCCAAAUCAUGGAUCACGCAUAUUACAGCAAGCUUCUGUCAAGGAACAUUUUCAAACCUCCAGGGGCGGGAAAGAUCACCCUGGCCAGAAGGACUAAUGAUGGCAAGAGGAAGAGAGAUGAUGAUGAUGAGAGGAAUCCAGAUGACGACGACUUCUGGUCGUCAAGAGGAAGAGAGAUGAUGAUGACGACUUCUGGUCGUCAAGAGGAAGAGAGAUGAUGAUGACGACUUCUGGUCGUCAAGAGGAAGAGAGAUGAUGAUGACGACUUCUGGUCGUCAAGAGGAAGAGAGAUGAUGACGACGACUUCUGGUCGU